rnacentral:rRNA from 1 species
CAUGUCCUUUUGAUAAUAAUUUAAGGUCUAAUCUGCCCACUGAAAAUUAAAUGGCCGCAGUAAUUUGACUGUGCUAAGGUAGCAUAAUAAUUAGUUUUUUGAUUGAAAGCUGGAAUGAAUGAUUGAAUGAGAUAAAAACUGUCUCAAUUUUAUUUUUAUAGAAUUUUAUUUUUAAGUUAAAAAGCUUAAAUAAAAUUAAAAGACGAGAAGACCCUAUAGAGUUUAAUAAUUUAAUAUAAAAUAAUAUUUUUAUAAAAAACAUUUUUUUUUAUUAAAUUAUUUUGUUGGGGUGAUAAAAAAAUUUAUAAAACUUUUUUUUAAUUUUUACAUUAAUUAAUGAAUAUUUGAUCCAUAAAUUAUGAUUAUAAGAUUAAAUUACCUUAGGGAUAACAGCGUAAUUUUUUUUUAGAGUUCAAAUCGAAAAAAAAGAUUGCGACCUCGAUGUUGGAUUAAAGUUGAUUCUUGGUGUAGAAGCUAAGAAAUUAAGUCUGUUCGACUUUUAAUACUUUACAUGAUCUGAGU